GAUGAAGACCUAGAGCAGGGUUCAGUUAAAAGUCUGGAGGAGAUGACAUCAGACAUUAUUUUGUAGAAGAUCUUGAUGAGGGUCCAUUUGGUGGUCUGGAGGACAAGAUGUCAUCCGACAUGCUAACAUCGCAUGCAGCAAAUGCAGUAAGUACCAUGAAGUUACUUCACGAGGAACAAAUGUGUUGCUUGAGUGUAUAGAAACCUGAUUCUGGGAUCCUGCUGGGAAGGAGGAUUGGGGGUCUCGCGA